GACUUUCGGGACACUGCAACUGUCAUAAAUACGAAACAGUUGCCGAAUUGUGAUCACAGGACGAUGGGGAUGCUUCAACAGCCAUAAGUGUGAAUGGUCAUAAGUCCCUUUUUUCAGGGCCGUUUUUUAAUUUUGAACGCUCACUAAGCAAAUCGUAAAGAGACUAAUGUAAUAUAAAUAGUGAAAACCUAAACUAAGUAUGGAUAACAAACACAAUCUAAAUGUAAAAUAUACAUAACGUACAAAAGAAUCAGAAACUCAAUAAAUUGUCAGUGUUUAAAACUCAGGCAAGGAUGGAUGAACAUGAUGGCCAUUUGAGAAAAUCCUGUUUAUAGAUUUCGAUUUCAAGUACCUUUGGUAAAUGACCUAAAUCCAUCCUUCUCUCGAUCCCUUUACACUACAGUA